rnacentral:rRNA from 1 species
CCUACGGGAGGCAGCAGUGGGGAAUAUUGCACAAUGGGCGCAAGCCUGAUGCAGCCAUGCCGCGUGUGUGAAGAAGGCUUUCGGGUUGUAAAGCACUUUCAGCGAGGAGGAAAGGGUGUACUUUAAUAGAGUGCAUCUGUGACGUUACUCGCAGAAGAAGCACCGGCUAACUCCGUGCCAGCAGCCGCGGUAAUACGGAGGGUGCGAGCGUUAAUCGGAAUUACUGGGCGUAAAGCGCGCGUAGGCGGUUAAUUAAGUCAGAUGUGAAAUCCCAGGGCUCAACCUUGGAACUGCAUUUGAAACUGGUUAACUAGAGUUUUGUAGAGGGUGGUAGAAUUUCAGGUGUAGCGGUGAAAUGCGUAGAGAUCUGAAGGAAUACCAGUGGCGAAGGCGGCCACCUGGACAAUAACUGACGCUGAGGCGCGAAGGCGUGGGGAGCAAACGGGAUUAGAUACCCCGGUAGUCCACGCAGUAAACGAUGUCUAUUAGAAUUUUGUGGCUAUAUGCCGUGGGAUUCAAAGCUAACGCAUUAAAUAGACCGCCUGGGGAGUACGGCCGCAAGGUUAAAACUCAAAUGAAUUGACGGGGGCCCGCACAAGCGGUGGAGCAUGUGGUUUAAUUCGAUGCAACGCGAAGAACCUUAC